GUCUCUGACAAGCUGCUGCUUCUCAGACAAAGGGGGAGUCUAUUGAGCCAGAGCUCCCUAAUGGAGAUGUUGCAAGAGGGUGGAUGAGACUUGCUAAUCAGGAGGUGUCUGGUGCCCUGUGUUGGGACAGCUUUAUUUAUAAUGGGAGAGCACCAUCCCAGAGCCACUGUCGACAGCCAGGUAUCUCCAGGACCUUCUUCACUCCCAUCUUGCUGCCACAGCUCCUUUGUGAAUCUCCUCGCUUUGCACCCAGACACUCAUCACUGCCGGCAGGCAGAGAAGUGGGAGCAGAGAGCAGGGGACUGAGCACUCCUUCUCCCCGGCACCACUUGCUUAUUCAUUGCUGCCUCUCCCACGGCUCCGCAGGACAUUUCACCUCUAAAGCAGGAGAGUCAUUCCACACUACAGCCUCGAAAUGAUCCUCAGCCACGCUGUAAAGCAGCCGCUGCUGGUUGUUUUGUUCCCAGCAUUGAAUGUGCACUUGGAGAGAGGGAAAGUGGAUGAUCUGAGAUGAGAAAGGGGCUGUGAUUCUUCCACUCUUCCUUCACCACUCUCCAGACAACGUAUAAGAGAAAACCAAUUUGUGCAGAAGAAACAGGAGCAAAGAGUUUCGACGCGCUUGCAGGGAACAAAACAAACUGAAGAAAAUAAGGCUAUUGAAGAAGUGUCAAGUUGGGAAGAGUGGGAAGAUGGGGCAGAGCUAUCUAUUAAUGCACGGAGCCGGAGACUGCAGAAGGUAGACAGGGCCCGCUGAAAGGUCAGUUCAGGAUCUUUAUGUUUUAAUCCUUUAGGUGCAAGAUGUUUACUGAGUCAGGCUAGGGAAGCAUGGAUGGGAUGUGAUGACAGCUGGGCAAUAGAGGGGUUUCCUCCUCACCAGCGGGGUACAGUCAGUGUGCUCAGGCAUUGCUGAGGGUGGGAGAUGCACACUUCUUGGGCCCUGAAGAGGUCUACCUUCUGCCAAGGGACAGCUAAAGUCCUGCCAUGAAGAAGACUCCUCUGAUCAGGUCCCUACUGCUGACACACAAGCAGUCAUACUUCUGGGGAUGAAAAGUGGAGCCACACUUCCUUCCCUUCUCCAUUUGGUCUGCAGUCCAGGAGCGAGGCACCCUGCACGCACAGGUCCCAGGAGAUGGGGGAGGAGGCAUCGCUGGAAUGUCUGACACCUGAUUUUGCCUUAUUGAGUAGACAUCGAUCAGCUGUCUCUGCCCAUAAUAAUGAUAAUAGAGUCAAUGCUAAUCGGUCCGUUUGUUUCCAGAGCUGGAUGUGUGUGCAUGUGAGUGUAUGCCAACAAGGCUCAUUUGGACUGAGAAAUUACAGAUGCAAAUGAUGCAUUAAUUCAGCCAGCACAUUCCUUUGCACUCCUUGGACACCCCAGAAUCAUCCCCCAGGUCGUGGCACAUGGAGCAUGAUAAGGGGAGGCAACAAAGGCCUGGAAAUAGGAUACAGAUAUGAAUUUCCAGACUUUGCCUGCUGUCCCUAUUUGUAGCCCACAUUUGGUGCUUUAUCUUCAACCUGUGUUUCCUGAUCCUGUAAGCAGAGAGCCACCAGCCCUCUCUGGAGGAGUACAAACAAAAUCUGUGCGCUGUGCACAAAAUCUGUGUACCAUGUGCUGUGGCCACAAUGAUUUUCAUUUAUUGGUUCUGUUUCUUUUUUUCCACCCACAAUUUGAUUUAUACACUUGCAGAGGAAGCAUCCCUUCUUGCUCUGAUCCCACAGGGAUGAUGGCUGGUCCACUAUGAGACUCUGAGAUAAUCUUCCUUAGCUCCCCCUCAUCACCACAAAGCCUUCUGCAAAGCAGCCCUCCAGCCUGGAGAAGAGCAGGGAGCAUCUGAUGGAGGGCAGAGCCCAGAGCCAAGAGCAACAGCUUCUGCUCUACCUUUCCAGCUUUCGGCAGAUACCCCUGUAACAGAGUCCCGCAUGAGCCCCAGAGCCCUGUGUGUUUUCGAAGGAGCAAACACAGAAAGGUUUGUAGUUGAUGCUUGGCCUGGAAAUGUGUGUAGCUCCUGCAAAAUCUAAAGAGCAACCAGGGUGUUUCUGUGUCACCGUGUCCCAGCCUGUCCCUGUCACUGUGCUGCAGAUGGUUUCUCCUGAUACGUGUGGCAAGGUGUUACAAGGGUAUGCAGAUCCCCAUAUGCUUUGGAAGAUGUGCUUGAGUCCCUGCUUUCAGGCUUGCUGUCUCUAUAGCUGCAGAGCCUGGUUCUGAAGAUGACCCUGAUGCCAUCCUCCAUGGCCCUUUUGGAUAUAACCUUGGUGUGCCUGAGGAUGAAGGCUGUACUGGGGGGACUGGUGGUCUUCUGGGGCCUGUGUUGGGACAACUGGGUCAUUGCUGCAAGUGGAGCUCUCUCUGUUGCAUGGGAACACGCUCACAGCCCUGUUUCCGCACAGCCCUGCAUGUCCCAGGAUGGCAUUUUAAAUAGGCUGCUCUGGGCUCCUCUCUACCCUGCCCAUCUCCCCACAGCCUUGGGGCUCUGCUUUCUGGCGUUGGUGGCCCUCACACCUCUCAGGGCCCCUGCCAUCUCUCAGAGCCCAACCUCUCCCAUGCAUCAGCGGUGGUGGUGGUUCCUGCAACUCUCAGCAGUGUGUUGGACCUCUGGCUGAGGUGUUGCCCGGCAUUAACCCCAUCCUUGUCUUGGCACAGGCAUAAGAUAGGGCACAAGGCAGGACCUGCCCACCGCAUGGCCCAUGAGGGUGGCUCAGCCAACAGCAGGCAUGAUGGAGGGAUGGAGUCACCUGGGAUGGAGUCACCCAUCAGGCCACAUGGGUUCUCAAGGAGGAUUUAAUCACUGUCCUCCUGGAUCUUAAGUCUCUGGGUGGUAAAGCCAUCCCCUUGAGCUCUUUUAAGUGUUUGCUUUUUCUUUUCUUUUCUCUCCUCUGAUUUUUAUUUGUGAACCCCAUUUCGGUGAUUAACCUCAGGGCCGGCAUGUCUCCUAAGAAAGAUGCUCCCACUUCAUUAAGAGAUAAUGGAAGCUGUCAGAGAUUUGAAGGAUUGCACUCAUGAUGGGAGCAGGAGGGGGAAGAAAUAUAUUCACAGCAAAGUUACAUUUUCAUGUAAAUUGUUUAAGGAUUUAAAUGGUUUCUAUUAGGAAGGGUCACUGGGGCUGCACAGAGGGCUAAAUUAGUCCUUCUGUGCAGAAGCAUAAUAUUGUCUAUAAAUGAAAAGGAAUAAAGCAAGCUGUUAAUUUUUUUUUUCACUCAUUUCAU